GCCCUGGUGGCUCAGUGAUAAAAGCACCUUGCUUAUCAUGAGUAGACCGGGCGUUCGAUUCGCUCUUGAGGCU